GUUGGUGGAGUGAUUUGUCUGGUUAAUUCCGUUAACGAACGAGACCUUAACCUGCUUAUUGGGAACGCUGAGAAUCUCUCUCUGCGAACAUCAUUAAAGGGACUGUUGCUGUGUUUAACGCGAGGAAGUUUGAGGUAAUAACAGG
rnacentral:rRNA from 1 species